UACGGAGGAGGCAAGCGUUAUCCGGAAUUAUUGGGCGUAAAGCGUCCGUAGGUGGUUGAACAAGUCAGCUGUUAAAGAGUGGUGCUUAACACCAUGCAGGCGGUUGAAACUGUUUGACUAGAGUUUGGUAGGGGUUGCGGGAAUUCCCAGUGUAGCGGUGAAAUGCGUAGAUAUUGGGAAGAACACCGGUGGCGAAAGCGCGCGACUGGACCUGAACUGACACUGAGGGACGAAAGCUAGGGGAGCGAAAGGGAUUAGAUACCCGCGUAGUCC
rnacentral:rRNA from 1 species